rnacentral:lncRNA from 1 species
UGAAAUCGAAGUGGUACGAAUCUGAAAUACACUUUUAUAAUUAUAUAUAUGAUUCUACGACUAUUUGGAACUAUGAUGCUAUAUAAAUUAUGUGAAUUUCGAGCAUAUGUCUAAUUGGUUGAUAUGUAAUAAAACUUAUAUAUGUGCAAUCGUAACUAUUGUGAGCAACUAAUAUUCUGUGUACUGUGUAGUAUGUAUACUGUACUAUGUAUAUCCUAUAUUAUCAAUUGUUCGACACUUCUAAAUUAUAUAAAUAUAUUUUAUUUGAAGAUACAAGUGAAUUUGGAUGAUGAUGAAAUAAAAGCUCCUGAUAAAGAAGAUAAAAAGGGUAAAAAAAGUUCAAAGGCCUAGCAGUACUUCGAAGAACUACAGGGCUGUCCAGCAGGUUUCGAAAAAGCCAAAUGCAAGUUUUGUAAGGUUAUUGUUGGCUGCAACACCAACAGAAAUGGUACAUCUGCUAUGAUAAACCAUUUAAAAAC